rnacentral:lncRNA from 1 species
AUAUGAUACCUUUUUGCAUGACUAUGAUACUGUAUUUGUGUAUUCAUAGAUACAGAUUUUUAAAACAUAUUCUUAUGCAAGGAAGGAAAACGUGUCGGUGAAUGACUUCAUAUUUCUAUUGUGACUUCUAUGUGCUCUGCACGGUUGCUGGAGUUCAGAAAACAUUGGAAAGAGUUAAAUGAGAAUGCAUAUGAGAGUUCAAGACUUCAGCAGAAAAAAAAUCACCUCAUUAAAGGAAAAUUGUGCCUUAUCCCCACUACUCGAAGAUGCAACCAUCUCCCUGGUCACAGCCACUUUUUUCCUUUUUUUCUGUAA